rnacentral:rRNA from 1 species
AUUGAACGCUGGCGGCAGGCCUAACACAUGCAAGUCGAACGAGUGGCGGACGGGUGAGUGAUGUCUGGGAAACUGCGUGAUGGAGGGGGAUAACUACUGGAAACGGUAGCUAAUACCGCAUACCCUCGGAUGUGCCCAGAUGGGGUUAGCUAGUAGGGGGGGGAAAGGCUCACCUAGGCGACGCUCCCUAGCUGGUCUGAGAGGAUGACCAGCCACACUGGAACUGAGACACGGUCCAGACUCCUACGGGAGGCAGCAGUGGGGAAUAUUGCACAAUGGGGGAAAGCCUGAUGCAGCCAUGCCGCGUGUGUGAAGAAGGCCUUCGGGUUGUAAAGCACUUUCAGCGAGGAGGCGUUACUCGCAGAAGAAGCACCGGCUAACUCCGUGCCAGCAGCCGCGGUAAUAC